GUGACCUUGGCCUUGAAGGGGCUGCCGACGAUGUGGUGGGGGCCGCCGUACUUGAUGGAGAUGAGGUAGUUGCCGGGGGCCAUGGGGGUGUAGGUGACGCGGUGACCCUCGGCGCACUCCACGCAGUCCAGCUUCACCUUGGAGGGGCCGUCGAUGGUGACCGAGAGCGCGCCCGCCCCCGCGUUGGCCGUCUUCACCAGGAACUCCGAGCACACCCCUGCACGCGCGCGUGUCACACGCCGGCACCGGGACGCGGCCCCGCGGCCACCACCCCGUGCCCUGGCCCUAUUGGCACCGUCCUAUUGCCAUGGCCCUAUUGGCACCAUCCUGCUACCAUGGCCAUAUACCCAUUGCCAUGACUCCAUGCCAUGGCCAUGUCCCCAUUGUCACCAUCCUACUGCCAUGGCCAUGGCCCUAUUGUCACCACCCUAAUGCCACGGCCAUAUCCCCAUUGCCCCCACCCCAUGCCAUGGCCAUGUCCCCACCGCCACCACCCCAAAGGCACGGCCACAUCCCCAUUGCCCCCACCCUAUA
rnacentral:lncRNA from 1 species